rnacentral:tRNA from 1 species
UUCCUGGUAACUCAGACGGUAAAGCGUCUGCCUACAAUGCAGAAGACCCAGGUUCAAUCCCUGGGUCGGAAA